UUAACUACAAUUUAUAUGGAGUUGGAACGUUUGCCACUAGGAGCGUUGUUCCAAUUACAUACAAAUUUGAGUUA
rnacentral:pre_miRNA from 1 species